AAAAAGGAUGGGGAAGAAAGAUGCUUCUGCAACCACGUUGCCUGUUGAUCAGUACCGUAAACAGAUCGGAAAACAAGAUUACAAGAAGUCUAAAUCAGCUCUACGCGCAACGAGACUGAAAGCGGAGGCGAAGCGGAAUGCCACGGGGAUGCGGGACACCAUCCUGGUCAUCGUGGCCGUUAUCGUGUUCCUCCUCAGCAUUUACGCCUUCUUCUACCUCAAUCUGAGCACCGAGAUCGACCUGGACGUAGAUGUGGACUGAGCUGCGACUGGCCCGCCUUGCACCAAAUCCACCCUUGACCCCGCCUUUUCUCCGAUCCCCCAGCCUUAUGUACCGAAUGGUCCUUCACCCGAAUACCGGCAAACUGAUGGUGGAUCAUGUGAACUUUGCCCUCAGAGGCCUGGUUGGGCUGUGGCUGGUCAUGCAGAGAUCCAGUCCAGCAUCGUCUGUUUGUGCACGGUUUGAAAUGGUUCCGUGGAUUUGGGUUCCUCCAGGGGUCUGGCACUGGGGCUAUAGGGCCAGGGCCCGGUGCUGUCCAGCAGGACGUGAGUAAAUCUGUUAUGAUGCCCGAUGUCCCCGUUGCAGCUGGGGGACGUUCACACCUCGCUACACUCAUUAGUGACAACAGGUUGUGUCAGGCAGCAGGAGUGUCACUGGCAGAGGAGAAGUAUUAUCCAGCUUACUGAUGUGCCGUCGUGUUAAUCUGUCUAGGUGCCACCAUGAUCAUUAUGCUUUAAAGCUUCAUUCAGAUGGUACCUUUUCCCUGUCUGAUUUAAGGUUCCACCUGCAUAAGAGAAGCAGCUUUGGAUCAGAUCUAAGGUUCCACCUCCAUAUAAGAAGCAGCUUCACACCUGAUCUAACUUCCUGCCUACAUAUGGGAAGCAACUUUGGACCUGAUCUUAGGUCCUAGUUUUAGGCUGGUGUGUGCAGCUGACCCUCGGAAUCCAUGCAGAUAUCCCAAUAUGAAUUGAUGAUGCUGCCCCUUUUGGUAGGUUUUUCUUAAGUCAAUGAAAAGACCUGGUUUCACUGCAUUUGCUGAGCGCCUUUGAUGGUCAGAGCUUCUCCAGUGGGCUGCCACAAAGCUGCAUCACUGGAUCUACGCCCUCCCUGGACAUUGGCCGCUACCAAAUUAUGGAUGUUGCACAUGCCAUGCUAUAAAGGGAAUGUAAGAACACGAAGAUCUGAAGGUCUUGUAUAUUUUCAAGGUAAUGUGAAAAAACGGUUUGUGGUGUUUAAGCCUGAUAAGCGAGAGUGGAAGCUAAGGGAAUAUCCUGUUCCCAUUUAAGAAAUGUCAGACUCUCGGAUAUUUCCUGUUUCCUCCUUUCUCUGUCUGUGAUGGUCCUGUUGGCUUGAAUAUUAAACGUUCGGCUUGAAGAAACUGAA